rnacentral:rRNA from 1 species
GGACGAACGCUGGCGGCGUGCUUAACACAUGCAAGUCGAGCGGUAAGGCCCUUUCGGGGGUACACGAGCGGCGAACGGGUGAGUAACACGUGGGUGACCUGCCCUCAGCUCUGGGAUAAGCCCGGGAAACUGGGUCUAAUACUGGAUAUGACUCCACGGUGCAUGCCGUGGGGUGGAAAGCCUUGUGCGGCUGAGGAUGGGCCCGCGGCCUAUCAGCUUGUUGGUGGGGUGAUGGCCUACCAAGGCGACGACGGGUAGCCGGCCUGAGAGGGCGACCGGCCACACUGGGACUGAGACACGGCCCAGACUCCUACGGGAGGCAGCAGUGGGGAAUCUUGCGCAAUGGGCGAAAGCCUGACGCAGCGACGCCGCGUGAGGGAUGACGGCCUGUGU